rnacentral:rRNA from 1 species
AUUGAACGCUGGCGGCAGGCCUAACACAUGCAAGUCGAGCGGAGCGGCGGACGGGUGAGUAAUGCCUAGGAAUCUGCCUGGUAGUGGGGGAUAACGUCCGGAAACGGGCGCUAAUACCGCAUACUCUCAGUUGAGCCUAGGUCGGAUUAGCUAGUUGGUGGGGUAAAGGGCUACCAAGGCGACGAUCCGUAACUGGUCUGAGAGGAUGAGCAGUCACACUGGAAGUGAGACACGGUCCAGACUCCUACGGGAGGCAGCAGUGGGGAAAAGUAGGCAAUGGGCGAAAGCAUGAUCAAGACAUGCCGCGUGUGUGAAGAAGGUCUUCGGAUUGGAAAGAACGUUAAGUUGGGAGGCGGUACCAAAAGAAUAAGCACCGGCUAACUGCGUGCCAGCAGCCGCGGUAAUUC